rnacentral:tRNA from 1 species
AGCAGAGUGGCGCAGCAGAAGAAGCGUCCUGGGCCCCUAACCCAGAGGUCGAUGGAUGGAAACCAUCCUCUGCUA